rnacentral:rRNA from 1 species
UGGGGAAUAUUGGACAAUGGGCGAAAGCCUGAUCCAGCCAUGCCGCGUGUGUGAAGAAGGUCUUCGGAUUGUAAAGCACUUUAAGUUGAGAGGAAGGGCAGUAAGCGAAUACCUUGCUGUUUUGACGUUACCGACAGAAUAAGCACCGGCUAACUCUGUGCCAGCAGCCGCGGUAAUACAGAGGGUGCAAGCGUUAAUCGGAAUUACUGGGCGUAAAGCGCGCGUAGGUGGUUCGUUAAGUUGAAUGUGAAAGCCCCGGGCUCAACCUGGGAACUGCAUCCAAAACUGGCGAGCUAGAGUAGGGCAGAGGGUGGUGGAAUUUCCUGUGUAGCGGUGAAAUGCGUAGAUAUAGGAAGGAACACCAGUGGCGAAGGCGACCACCUGGGCUCAUACUGACACUGAGGUGCGAAAGCGUGGGGAGCAAACAGG